AAUGAAGAUGGAGAUUGAGAGUGUUGUGUGCUCAGGCUCUGGCGUUCUCAGCGCCUACAAAAUGAAUGUCCUUCACGCCGUCAAAAUAAAAGUCACAACAACAAGUGCGUUAUACGUCACUUCAGAGUUCCUACUGGCAGUGCGAAUGCAACGACCCUAGGGGAAUAUUUAGUUCUCGGGGAACCACCCUGGUUGCUAGUUCCUUGAACUACCCGGUGCGGAAGCCCCUUUUCACAUAGGCACAGUGUCCACACCUGCACAUACCUAUGAGUAAUGCAUUCCAGCAGAACAUUAGUUAAAAAUGGGUAUAAACAUAUUUUUAUCAGAAAUUAUAGAAGAUGGCAUCCCGAUCACAAGGAUAAACAUCACACUGUUAUGUCUGUUGGGUUGUAUUGUAAGUAUAUAACCUUGAGAAGUUGUUAUCCAGUGCGUUGAUCAUUUGUACCUUGUUAUGAUUUCACAUGCUAUAUUUUUCACUUAUAUUCAAGUGAAGAACAGAGUAAGGCCUUAAAGACUUGAGCUAGCUGAUAAGAUCAGGGAGUGACAAUAAUUCACAUGAAAGUGUUAGAGGCACAAGAGCCUGGUGUGCUUACCUGGCAACUAUUGACAGCCCAAGAGUGUGUUGUGGUUCUCUGCUGCUCACUUCUCUAGAGAGAUUGAAUUCUUCUAGUCAUUUUCUAACCAAUUUACCCAUCUGCAUUGUCUCCUUGUUUCGAUUGCACUCUUGCUGUUUGCCUGAGUUUUCCCAGGUCUGCAUUUGCCCAAAUCGGAUCUUUAUGGUCAAUCAUAAGUGGUUAUAAACCUUACAGUACGUACCUCCCUGUCUGUCAUCGUAAUCCCCCUAAAAAUCUUAAAUCAGCAACUUCUUCUUCUUGUUCACUGACAGCAGUCUACAGUCUCUUAGGUUAUUUCACCCUAUAACUUUAAAACUUUUUAAAGUUUGUUACAUUUAAGUAUUAUCUUCCCCUCUAAGUGGUCGAAAUGCUUUGUCUUCUUCGGAACCUUAAAUGGAACGAAUGCUGGAUAUUGCAUUCAAUUCAAGAUACACAAUAUUCACUGGGAGAUCUUGGAUACCUGCAGGUUCUGCAAAAGGUCUUUAAUAACACGGUAGUGAUUGCCUGCUUGAUCUACACCUUACUUAAGCCCGUCAAUCAUCAGUCACUUUUGGAGGCCUGUACCGCCUCUUUCGUUACACUGCGUGCAUCUUCUCCAAAUCCCGCCACCCUGCUGAGCCAAGAUCAGCUGGAGACAAGCACUUCUGAUGAGUCCGUCCAUAUACACCUCCCAAAUUACCCUCAUAAAUGAUGAGAGCGUGUGCACGCGUAUGUGUCUGUGUGUCCUAGACUGGUGUUUAACCUACUAUGGGGGUGGCUUACCACUCAGCGGGAGCGAACAACCACGCACUUCUUCUACUCCAUCACCUCCUCCUCUUCAUCUUUGUCAGAGUUAGUGGUGAGAGUGACGCCAAAGAGAAAACAAAGAAGAUUCCAAGAGUCCCUGAUGAGUACUAGGUCAAGGUCACUGCCCAAUUAUCCACGUCUUUCAUUUUCAUUCUGUCUUUUCAGUUCUCUGUACCAUCUCUCGGUUCCCUCAUUUUCUCGUUCACCAGGCGGGAAAGUAAUCGUUGUCUCUCAUGCUGUGGUGUCGAGGUUAAGUGGAGGUGAUCAUGUCUUGUGGAGAGGGUAGUUUCUUGAGAGGCAGCAGACUCCUGGAGUGGCAUGUCUGAGAAGUGUUGCAGUUAAGACAAAGGCUUUAGUCAUUUGUUUGGUAUCUGUUCAUCUACAGUACAAAGCCACUAUAACAUUAGGUUGACUUUCAAAGUUUUGGGUGGAAAAGCUGAAGGUCUCCAUUGCCACUUUCUAAUAUUUACACACAUUAUUUAGACAAUUAGAUUUGGACAAUGUUCCUAACUUUGAUGUUCCUUGUGAUGCUCUUGCUCGUCUUGCUAAUGCUUUCGUUUAUCUUACAGUGCCUCUGAACUAAGCACAACGCUCCAGUUCUUUGCUUCGGAGAUGACAAAAUUAGACGAUCUCAUAAUUUUCAUCAUUGUUUUCAUCGUUUUUGUACUCAUAAACGCCUACAAUGUGAAUCAGGAUUGCCACUCCUGAAUUGGUACUUUCCAUGUCAAUCGAAUGCAUUGUCAUUAUCACUAAGUGAUAAUUAACUUAUGUGCAUCAAUUGGCUUCUUUGUUUGUAUGACAAUGUUUUGUUCUUUGAUUUUGUUUUUCAAAUGCUGUUGUUUAAAUAAAGUGCAUUCAAAGAA